UACGGAGGGGGCUAGCGUUGUUCGGAAUUACUGGGCGUAAAGCGCGCGUAGGCGGAUCUGCAAGUCGGGGGUGAAAUCCCGAGGCUCAACCUCGGAACUGCCUUCGAUACUGCGGGUCUCGAGUCCGGGAGAGGUGAGUGGAAUUCCUAGUGUAGAGGUGAAAUUCGUAGAUAUUAGGAAGAGCACCAGUGGCGAAGGCGGCUCACUGGCCCGGUACUGACGCUGAGGCGCGAAAGCGUGGGGAGCAAACAGG
rnacentral:rRNA from 1 species